UACUAAAGGAUAAUAGCAUUCCACUGGUCUUAGGCACCACGAUCCUUGGUGCAAAU
rnacentral:tRNA from 1 species